rnacentral:rRNA from 1 species
AGCGAACGCUGGCGGCAGGCCUAACACAUGCAAGUCGAACGAAGUCUUCGGACUUAGUGGCGGACGGGUGAGUAACACGUGGGAACGUGCCUCUAGGUUCGGAAUAACUCAGGGAAACUUGUGCUAAUACCGAAUGUGCCCUUCGGGGGAAAGAUUUAUCGCCUUUAGAGCGGCCCGCGUCGGAUUAGCUAGUUGGUGAGGUAAAGGCUCACCAAGGCGACGAUCAGUAGCUGGUCUGAGAGGAUGAUCAGCCACAUUGGGACUGAGACACGGCCCAAACUCCUACGGGAGGCAGCAGUGGGGAAUCUUGCGCAAUGGGCGAAAGCCUGACGCAGCCAUGCCGCGUGAAUGAUGAAGGUCUUAGGAUUGUAAAAUUCUUUCACCGGGGACGACAAUGACGGUACCCGGAGAAGAAGCCCCGGCUAACUUCGUGCCAGCCGCCGCCGUAACAC